rnacentral:rRNA from 1 species
UACGUAGGGGGCGAGCGUUGUCCGGAGUUAUUGGGCGUAAAGCGCGCGCAGGCGGUCUAGCCAGUCUGGAGUGACAGUUCCCGGCUCACCUGGGAAAGGUCUUCGGAAACUGCUAGACUUGAGGGACUCAGAGGGAGACGGAAUUCCAGGUGGAGCGGUGAAAUGCGUAGAGAUCUGGAGGAACACCAAAGGCGAAGGCGGUUCUCUGGGCAUUCCCUGACGCUGAGGAGCGAAAGUGUGGGGAGCGAACAGG